ensembl:lncRNA
ACCGCGAGACGCCGAUUAUCGUUUGUAGUCCUGAGGGUUGCAGGCAGAUUAAAGAGGGACAAAAAAAAAAGAAUGUAAAAACUCACAAGCAAGAGGACGCUCGGGAGCCUCGAGACAAAACAGUCACACAAGACGCUUCUCGGGACCAGAAUGGUCGCAUCACUUCUGGUUGAAACGAAGGCCCGAGGCCGGUCAACAUGACAAAGGCUGGUUGUAAAUUGUAGAUUGUUCUCCUUUACACCCUUUACACAUUGUGUAUGUAUCUUCAACCUUAAGAAAAGACAGGAUAAGAAACUCAAGAGCUUUAAUUCACCCGUCCACAGGUAUUUAUUUUUCAUUUUUUCCAAGCUGCAAGCUUUUUAGAGAAUACUUCUACUGUGUCUGAAUGCACAUCAUAUGUCAUUUUUAAAUAAUAAAAGCAGGGAGCAGAACAUCAGAGGCCGGCUGUGCUAUCGGGCCGCAUAGUGUUGCUCUCCCGUCAGUCCCCGCAGGCCCACAGCGAGCGAAUUGGCUCUCUUAUUUUGGCGGGGGUGGGGCGGCCUUGUGAGAGGCUGCGAGGCGGCCCGGUUCAUCAUUAGUUGCUGCAUGCUAACGCUGGAGACCUGAAUGAAAUAUUUAGCGCUGUGCUGGAAUCUCUCAAGCUUUCCACUCCAUCUGAACGAGAUUACUUUCAUUUAUUAAGACACAAUUUGCGUGGAAGAAGUUAAGUGCAGAAGGCUCCCCAUUUAUUUAUGAGGUCUCAAAUCCAUCAAAGUAGGAAGGUUUUUUUUAUUUAUUUUUUAAAGACAAAACACAUGUAGAUGUGUCCUUUCUUGAUUCAUAUUUCAUGUGCUGCUCUUGUGCACCGGCUCUACAAGCUGUAUGUUCAGUCCACUGAACUGUUCCGGGUUGAGGAGACGGUUUCACUAUGCACCGCUGAACGCGGCUAAAAGGAAAGUUAUCGGUUCAUUUGCAACACAGAGAAGUGAGUGUGUGCCAUUGUUUCUCUGACUGACUGAUACUGUAUUUCUUAACCCUUCCCAUUGUGAAAACAGGAACGAAUACUUAUAAGGCGAUUGACCAUCAAUACACACUUCACUGCUUUCCAUCCUCCCAAUAAAACAAUCAAAUGACAUUACAGGUAAUUUAGCAGACGCCUUUAUCCAAAGCGACUUACAUUACACGUUAAACCCAGGAUGUGUCCCUGUGUCCCUGAGCGUGUCCCUGAGCAAGACACGUUAGGUGUCUUGCUCAGGGACACUUCAACUUGAGACAUGGGGCAGCUGGGACUCGAACCACCAAACUUGCAGUUCCCAGCGCACCCGCUCUACCCCCUGCGCCACGACAACCCCAAAUGGCUUUUGUUUGCAGGGCGACUAGUGGCACAAGAGGAUCAUGGGCUUUAUAUGUUCACAUUCUCUUUUCAAAAACACAUCAUAUCUGUGAGAGACAAAUAAUAAUGCAAAUAAGUGCAAAUAAUGAGCUCCAGCUCUGAAAUAGUAUUUUGUAGAUAGCUUAAGGCUUCCGGGACCCCCGUAAUAAAGCAACGCGUGACUUCUCACCGUCAGUUCUCGUGCCGUUCUGCAUCAUCAUAUCACAGAGUCCUGCAUUCCGGACUGCUUGGGUGGAAAUGAUUUAUAAUACGUCAGCCGCUAUUUGCUGCAUAUUUAAGACUGCACACUGAGUGGUUGUGUCUUACGAGGUCUCUUAAUGAAAGUAGAUGCUGAUCUUCAGGACUAACGAGCAGCAACAGGCCCGCGAGGACUAAACUACGACCUCAAACUGAGGAAUGCGUCCAUGAACGCAGACCGACAGAACGACAGGUAUUCUAAUGAAUUCCAGCCCUUUAGCGGUGACUUUUAAAUCUAUUGUUGCCCUUCCAAGGACCUCGGCAGCUCGGUCGAGCCUUGUGGGUGAUUGAGUGCCCGGGACCGAAAGCGGGUGGUGGAACGAUAAGAAAAUAAAUUAAUGAAAAGAAUGAGUUGUCCCUUUUAGCUGCUAUGAACUGAGCACAGAGAUUUAAGACUAGAAAGUCAUAUUCUGCACGUUUGUUUCAGCCUCUUAACUGAACCCUAAUCAACUAAACCUUACUUUCCUUUUAUUUUCAUCCAAAAUGAAGGUGUAGCUGAUGUAGUAAACACACUUUUAUUGAAUUCUAAAUAUUAAGAAAUAACGUAUGUAAUCUGGUGGUUCAUGCUGGUAUUUCCGUUAAGGGGGAAGUCGUGCUCGCACAGCAAUAACACAACUUGUGUACGCAUUGUCAUCUGGGACACGUUGACAAAAACCCAAAUUGACUUCUAUGAAAUCAGCGAGUUUAAAAUACCGUUACAGGUAUGAAAACAAGGAUUUAUUACGUACUUACUGACAUUGAGUGUCAUAUCACAGAUAAAAAUGCCACUGCGAGGUGAUUGCAUGUAACCACUCGCUGUGUUGGGUAAACAGCGGCGUCCCUCAGGGCGCGAGGCUGAAACUCCCUCCUCGGCGCGUCCGUGACACCAGCUGUGUUACUCUUCUCCCUUGACUGCUUUGUCUUAUUGGAAUUAACGGGGGACCGAGGUGGCUUACUCACUCCAUUAAUUAACAUUCCCUUCCCCCCACACUUGUUUGGCUAUGAGAGACUUAACAUCCACACUAAUGUCCUCUUGUGGGAGGAAAGCUACUAUUUGAGCUAAAUGAGACGUCGUCCCUGCAGAUCGGUGAGCUUCGCCUGAAAUGGUUAGAACUGAUGCAACGUGAGUCAAUAAGCAAUUUGAGAUAAGGCUCCGUUGGCGUCCUCGCUUGGUAAAAGAUGCAGCAGAACCACUGCGAGGGAACGACGGCUCACGCGCAGCCCUGCAGGCUUUGUUUUGGACAAUUGCAGCAGCUCACUUCAUCACCAUGCAUUUAUUUUAAUGUAGCAGGAUAUAAACCUGAACCAAAAAGGACAAACUGCCUUUUUUUUAUUCCAUAACAACUGCCGGUUAUAUCUUUAAUUUAAUUAAUAUAUAAGUGUGACUUUAUUAACAGACGCUAAACAAAUCUCAUCAAGUGUGACUAGGAAAUGAAAAUGUCAGUCAUUUGAGCUCUAAAGCACAAUUACAAUCAGUGGGGUGUUUAAGCCCAGAUAACAAAAAGGAUGCUGAUUUGGUUUGACUAUAAACAUGAAACAAAGAAAUUGAAAAUAAAUUGAAACCCAAACAAACGUUCCAGCCAUUACACAUUAUUGCUCUUUCCUUUUUGUCAUUUUUUGUCAAAAAACAAACGCAAUUUCUGUUCAGAGGGUUACGAGGUGACAUUCUUCAAAUUGCUGGUAAAUGAAAAAAUACAAGUGAUUUAGUAGACAGAUAUUUUUCUUUCUGGCCUUAAAUGUUGUCACUGUAAGAACAUCCCAGAAACCCUGAGGUAGUUUUUAUUGACAACAAUUGUAUAUCUAAUGUGGACAAAGGUUCCCUUGGACAUUGGACUGUAAGGUUGAGUCCUGUUAUUCGAAGUGCUUCUGUGAAUAUCAAUCCGGAUACCUGGAGCCCUUUUAAAAAGGUAAUUCUCAUGGAACAACUCCUCAUACAUUCUCCUAUAAAUGGCUUUUCCCUUUUAGACUGAACAAGUGGAUUCAGGGAGCAACAUCACUAGUUCCCGAACAGUUUUACAUCACUGUUAAAAAAUAGUUGAUUUUGCUAACAUCAAAAAGCUAUCGGGAAGGUUUGGGGUUGAAAUAAGAGCUUUUUUUUUAGUUCCUCUGUGGUUAUAAUAUUCCGUUAAAAGAAACCAGCAUUACCUUUUCUGUUAGAUAAAGGGAACACAGACAAAAUGGCCGCCGUUCGGUUUUCCGACAGUUUUCCGUUCCAUUGGAACCCCAAAAUGUCCCAAAACGCCAAGUCUAAUUCAAUCCCCGUUAUGGUCAUUUCACGCAUUUGUGUAACGCAAGACACAAUCAGAAGGAUCAUUGUGAUCUGCUUUACGUGUGAAGCCGGCUGGUCUUCUGUGGCCUUUUUUUGACAGCGGAGCGAAACGUCACAGCGUUGGAAUUCGGUAACAAUGGUAAUAAUUUGUAUUUGUUUCAUAAAUACUAAUUGAAAGGAUUUUUUCAGCCUGAUUUUUUGGUCGUUUCAGUGAUGAAUCCCUAGAAACUACAUUCAGUCUAAUUGUGUUUUGCAUUGUAAACAAACAUUUAUAAAAGUCCUAGUGAUCAUUUAGCCAGAAGCCAGAUACUUUAACUACAUGUUAAAGCACAGAUGUUGUUGCAAAAUUGUCUUAGAUAAACACAUUUCGAGGAGCUAUCGCUGACAAACACUCACGCAGGGAAACUAAAGGAUGUCUCUGCAUCGGAAACAGUGAAGCCAUCAUUGUGACAAAGUCUGUCCACAGACAACGGGAAGCAAGUUAGCGACCAGCUGGGGAGAGAAGAAGAGAUUCUUUCCCCAACAAUUCAAAGAGGAACAGAACUAAAAGGAGAGUGAACGUCGGAGAGAAACCCGACUCUAAGUAAAUGCUGAUGAUGCUCCCACUGGAAGAAAAUAUGAAAAAAAUUGUGUUGGGGAAAAGAACAAGUUUCUCGAGCCAGCAAAAUAUGCAAUUCAUAAUAAAACUUAAAAUCAUAAUGCAUGAGAUGUUCAAGGAAUUCAAAUAUUUAAGGCUUUUCCUUUGAAAUACUGCGACUGUAAAAUAAACCCCACAAAUAACAACAGCAGUGCUGACAGGUUGAGACUGUGGUCAACCAGCCGUCAUGGCAACGUGACGACUGCAAAUUAUUCAGCAUUAAAUAAAUGACCCUGUUACAUAAUGACAUCGAUUAAAAACACUUUUCAGUGCAAAAACAAAGGAGGGAGUUCCUUUGAUUGUCUUUAAGCUAAAACUCACAGCCUCACCUUACAUUU